rnacentral:pre_miRNA from 1 species
UGAUGAUGAUGAUGAUGAUGAUGAUGAGGAUGAUGAGGAUGAUGAGGAUGUUCAUCUUCAUCAUCACCAUCAUCAUCAUCAUGUUCA